GAUGAACGCUAGCGGCAGGCUUAACACAUGCAAGUCGAGGGGUAUUGGUUUUCGGACCAAGAGACCGGCGCACGGGUGCGUAACGCGUAUGCAAUCUACCUUUUGCAGAGGGAUAGCCCCAGAGAAAUUUGGAUUAAUACCUCAUAGUAUUUUUGAAUCGCAUGAUUUGAUUAUUAAAGUUCCAACGGUAAAAGAUGAGUAUGCGUCCCAUUAGCUAGAUGGUAAGGUAACGGCUUACCAUGGCUACGAUGGGUAGGGGUCCUGAGAGGGAGAUCCCCCCACACUGGUACUGAGACACGGACCAGACUCCUACGGGAGGCAGCAGUGAGGAAUAUUGGUCAAUGGACGCAAGUCUGAACCAGCCAUGCCGCGUGCAGGAUGACGGUCCUAUGGAUUGUAAACUGCUUUUAUACAGGAAGAAACCCUCCCACGUGUGGGAGCUUGACGGUACUGUAGGAAUAAGGAUCGGCUAACUCCGUGCCAGCAGCCGCGGUAAAGUG
rnacentral:rRNA from 1 species